CACGUAGUUAGCCGGCGCUUCUUUACCCACUACCCUCACCACAACCAAAUGUUGCGGCUUGACCAUGAGCGAAAGAGGUUUACAACCCGAAGGCCUCCAUCCCUCACGCGGCGUCGCUGCAUCAGGCUUUCGCCCAUUGUGCAAUAUUCCCCACUGCUGCCUCCCGUAGGAGUCUGGGCCGUAUCUCAGUCCCAAUGUGACCGGUCACCCUCUCAGGCCGGCUACCCGUCAAAGCCUUGGUAGGCCAUCACCCCACCAACAAGCUGAUAGGCCGCGAGCCCAUCCCCCACCAGAAAAAACCUUUCCACCAACCCCCAUGCGAAGGCCAGUGAAUAUCCAGUAUUAGCACCCGUUUCCGGGCGUUAUCCCAAAGAAGAGGGCAGGUUACUCACGUGUUACUCACCCGUUCGCCACUCAUCCACCCAGCAAGCUAGGCUUCAGCGUUCGACUUGCAUGUGUUAAGCACGCCGCCAGCGUUCGUCCUGAGCCAGGAGUCAAACUCU
rnacentral:rRNA from 1 species